rnacentral:misc_RNA from 1 species
UCAAUUUGUGCAGACUCUACAUCCUUAAGAACAGCCAAAAAUUCUUUCACUUUGGAUUUUGUUAGCUGAUUAAGAGAUGUGGAUUGCAACUCUUGAACCACAGUGCAAAGGCAUUCAAGAUAAUAAGCACGCAAGGAAGUUGAUUCUAACCGACAGUUUGCUGCUAUAUCUCCAUACUUGUCAAGGAUUAACUGUAAGAUAGGAGCAGCACUUGGUCUCACAUGAUAUUUUCCUAUUGACACACAGGAAUCAGAAAUAACAGACUGAAUUUCAUCAUCACUCUCUUCUGAAGCUCGGGAAAUGCCUGAAAAAGUGAAGUUCAGAGACUCAGCAGCAGGACCAUUAGUCAUCUCCACAUUCUUAGCGAUCGGAGAUGAAGCUUCCUCUGGUGAAGCAUGAAGCUUUUCAUUGUCCUCUGGAUUGGUUGGCGGCGCAAUGGCGAAACAGGUAAAACCACCAAGUGAUAGGUUUUUGGUACCAUUAGGCGUUAGAUUUCCAGAUGUAGGCACAAAUUCAGUGGCUCGAACUUGUCCCUUGCCAAAAGAAUGAUCUUGAGAGUAAGCUUCUUCAGAAUGUUGCCGGGAUGAUGAUGAAGAUUGACUGUUCUCUGGUUCCACCUUGUUUUUAGCGGGAAAAGAUGAUCGAGGUGACUGAGUGUCAGCAGGGUACACUGCUUUAACAGCAGAAAUAUUGUUUUGAGGGGACCUUGGCUGAGAUUCAGACCCCUUCUUCUUCCUGCCGAAGCUUCGAGAAGCUUCAAGAAUGAAAGAGCCUGCAAGAGCAAUAAAGAAUAGCUAAAAUUUCUAUUGAAGAAUUAUCUAACUUGGGAGUGGACGCAUCUCCAUUUUUAUUACAUAGACUAGGAAAAAAUUCAAGGGCCACGGAGGCAUUCACUAACUCUUGAAUAAAGUAAAUUGAAUUCGAACUAUAUACUCCUUUUGCAGACAAAUUUAAGGAUACCAGAGUUAAGAAUGUAAAUUCUUUAGUUUAGUGCAAGAGAAAACUGUCUACAUUUUCUUUGCCCAUUUAUGUAGAUAACUGUCCAAUCAAAUUACUUUUCCUUAAAAAAAUGUCUAAUUUCCAGACAAUAUGGCCAAUACAGAAUGAAAUACUGAAAAUAUAUCAAUUAACAUCAGAAAAUGCAAGCACUUCCAGACACUUUUAUCUGUUAAAAGACUGUUAAUUAUUAGAUCUCCUAAAAUCACCUUAGUUCAAUGAAUGAUACCAAAAAAACAAAUAAGCAACAUGCCUUUAUCUACAAUUACUCAUAGGAAAUGUUUUCAUAAUCCCCUAUAAAGUUUAUCAAAUUGCAACAAGAAACUGAAUCUUUUAGCCAAUGAAGAGUUAUUACACCCUCCUCCUAGGUCCUCUAUCUCCUAUUUGUUUAUCUUUCUUGUGAUUGUCAUUUCCAUUAUAAUUAGAUUUAUGUAAAUUCUAUGACUCGCUGUUAUUUUUCCACUUGUAAGUGCAUGUUACCACCCCCAUCAAACCAAAAAGGAUAUAGUGUUAUGUCUCUAAAGCCAUUCCAGAUGAUCAAAUGAGCAUUAGCAUUUGAAAGGGGGAAGAAACCUGAUUCUUUGUUAGCCCCCCGAGGCUUGGCCUCAGCAGUUCUAUAAGAGCAAAAUUUGCCACAUUGAUGGUAAGGAUUAGAUGCUUUAGGGCAAGUUGAGUCUGCUCUCCUUUCUCCAUCCAUCUUUUUGCUAAGGCCACCUCCUUUUAUACCAUUGCGAUAAUCUAAAAAACGAAAGAAGUAAAUACACCUGUGUUUAGAAAAUGUUUAGCAGAUCACAUAAACACAUUAUAUGGUCCGGCAAAAUUUAUGUUAGCCCCACAGCCCCAGUAUUUUCUUGUUUACAAGGCCUAAAUAUCAAGACGAGUGAGACAAUAACUAUUAAAAUGAGGAUGUGGAGUCCAGUGGUCUUAUUUAUUUAUUUUUGUCCUUGAUUAAAUCAUUAUUGGUAAAUACCUGUUUAGCAUUGACGAGCCAAAAAUUAGCAACUGAAGGUGCCAAGAUGUCACACUAGUUGGCAGAAUCUAUUGCACUAGGCUUAUUAAGUCCAAAGACUACUCUUUUCUCAUAAAGUCACUGUUAAAGCGCAAAGACCAUGAAGGCUAUGGCCUAAAUUGGGCAAUACUCCAAGGGGUGAAAGCACGUAUGGAGGGCAACAAUGGCUUGAAUGGCAUGCCUAAGGUUUAAUAUAUUCAUUAUUUUAAGACAAGAAAAGAUGUUGCAUUUACUGACCUCACCUGGUUAGACUAAGUCUGCAUAAAUAUUCAACUAAAAUAAGGUAUUAAAGAGACAAAACAUAGUAUGCACUGAAUCCCAUUUAUUUACAUUUAGAGUUCAUCUUCUAAGAUAAACUAAACGGAUUUAACCCAAAAUCGUUUAG